ensembl:rRNA 5S_rRNA 5S ribosomal RNA
GCUUACGGCCAUACCAGCUGAAGAACGCCCAAUCUCGUCUUAUCUCGGAAGCUAAGGAGGGUUGAGCCUGGUUAGUACUUGGAUGGGAGACUGUCUGGGAAUACCAGGUGCUGUAAGCU